rnacentral:rRNA from 1 species
CAGCAGCCGCGGUAAUACCGGCGGCCCUAGUGGCGGUCACUUUUAUUGGGCUUAAAGCGUCCGUAGCCGGGUUGGGAAGUCCUCCGGGAAAUCUGGCCGCUUAACGGUCAGAAUGCCGGAGGAUACUCCCAGCCUAGGGAGCGGGGGAGGCCGAGGGUAUUCCCGGAGUAGGGGGGAAAUCCUAUAAUCCCCGGAGGACCACCUGUGGCGAAGGCGCUCGGCUGGAACGCGUCCGACGGUGAGGGACGAAGGCCAGGGGAGCAAACCGGAUUAGAUACCCGGGUAGUCCUGGCUGUAAACGAUGCGGACUUUGUGUCGGACAAGCUAUGAGCUUGUCCGGUGCCGGAGGGAAACCGUUAAGUCCGCCGCCUGGGGAGUACGGCCGCAAGGCUGAAACUUAAAGGAAUUGGCGGG